rnacentral:lncRNA from 1 species
AAAUCUAGCAAGUGAGCUUUGUUGCUGAAACAAAAACUGACAGUUAUCACCCAAAAUUUUUUUGAAGUAGCAUUGAGAAAUAUCUACAGAGAUGUUUAAAGUUGACGUAACUAAACUGAUUCUGACAGGUAAAAAUGAUCAAAGGCUAUGCUGUCUAGUGUCAGAAAGAAGAAACGUUUUUUAAAAGUAACAUGAAAUGUCCGCUGUAACUCGGUGACACUCAAUUGAAAAGAACUGACAAACAAAGGUAACAAAUAACUUUGAUACUCACGUAAUAUUCUCCAUGAAAAAUUUCAUCGAAAAGCCACACGCAGUAUCACACAUCAAAAAAGACGAAAUCCCCAAGGUGAUAUUGAACGCCACUUCAACUUCUACACUGAGGAGAAGGCAAUCAAGACAGAUAUCCGUUCAUGUUGUCUGCAAGUGAUCCCAGACGUUUAAGCACCUGGGCAACAGUGCUGGAGAAUAGAUUGCUGAAAGUGAUAACACCCAGUGUUGGCUACAUACUACAAGGCAACAGCAAAUGUAAAGUCAAUCAUAAACGAUGGUGGAGGUGAAAAAUCCUUUCCACACAACCCAAUCUGACUCGGCAUAUAAUUAAAUGAAUAAUCACAUGUACCAUUAGAAAAUUUAGGUGCAUAACAGCCUAAGUAAGCUUUAAACUCGAGUUUAUAGGUUACAACCAACUCAAGCAUCUUGUUAGAACAGCAGUUUUAGAAAUGAAAUAAUCAAAUAAGCAGGCAGAUUAUACACACAUAGUGAUCAUGUUGUAUUAUGCAAUUGGAAAAGGAAACAGAAUCAAAAACAGAUAAUAAGUCUAUCUAUUGUUACUAAUUUCUCCCAUAAUGACACUAAUUUCCCAGUAACAUUUUCGUCCAUACUGCUGUAUCGGAACUUUACAAUAAACUUCGCUCCAAAUCCAAAGACCUUCAAAACUGCGACAAACUGAAUGAAAAAAAAAAAAGUUUUAGAAUGAUUUAUAAAACACAAAGUAAAUGUCUAAGCGUAGACAUUCAGAUUUUAUACAGCCAAUAUUAAUGGUUUCAUUAAGGUCAAACGGUAACUCGUUUUCAUCAGACUGGUAACAAUUUAAAGUGAUAUGAACUCAAAUUACCUUGUGCAAGUUUCAUAACUCCAUACCAUCCCACAGACGUUAAGCAACGGAUCGAAAAUUAACACACCUAAAAUAUGGAAUAACGUUAGGAGAAAACUAAUCUCUUUACACCAACAUGUCUAUCUACUAUCAGGGACUCGAGUGGGUCUUCAUAGUUAUCAGAAACACAGGAAACAUUUGUCAUCACAAAAUUUACAAUGAAGGUUUGACAUCAAUCUCUCUAUUACCUCAGGACUCCUUAGGCCGACACUAUUAAAUCCAGCGUCCCACCGCAUAUAUCCCUAUUAAAGAAAAUCAGAUGAUAAUAUUGAAAUUUAUCCGGUUGCCCAACCCCUUGCUUUAAGAAAACAAAGCAAGAAAGGCCUCAGGGACUCGCUUUAAUGUUGCAAACUGAACAAAAAGAAAUCUGGUGUUCAGCAAUUUCUUUACAAAAUAUCAUUUGCCAAAGAACGCAAUAAUGGAACCACUCUUACCUCGACAACAGGGAUUUAUCAAGAAAACGUAUAUAAACAAAAUCUCCUACAAUCCAAUAGACCGUAGUCAGACCUAGAUAUACCAGAUUAUUAAAUUAGAUAAGAAAAAUUUAACCAACAAACAACACAACAUACCCAAUAACAUCCUCGCCAAGUACUCCAAGACAACCGACCGAGCAACCUAAAAGACGACAAAAUAAAAUCAUCGUUAAGGUGCGGAAAGCAGCAGCUCAAAGGCAGAUUAAGAUAAAUAAUCUAUCAGGGACUCGAGUGAGUCUUCAUAUAAUUGUCAGAAACACAGGAAACAAUUGUUCAUCAUGAUAUUUAUGUUUAAUUCGUUAACAUAUUGAGCUAUUACCUAAUAUCCUAUGAAGAUGGCGCCA